UACGAAGGACCCAAGCGUUAUCCGGAUUUAUUGGGUUUAAAGGGUGCGUAGGCGGGUUAUUAAGUCAGUGGUGAAAGCUCCUAGCUCAACUGGGAAAUUGCCAUUGAUACUGAUGAUCUUGAGUAUGAUUGAGGUGGGCGGAAUGUGUCAUGUAGCGGUGAAAUGCUUAGAUAUGACACAGAACACCGAUUGCGAAGGCAGCUCACUACACAAUUAUUGACUCUGAGGCACGAAAGCGUGGGGAUCAAACAGG
rnacentral:rRNA from 1 species